CCACUGCUAUCGGGAUAGGACUAAGACAUGCUAGUUGAGCGCUUCCAGCCAAUACGGGAGCGCAGCGCACAGCUCAGUAACACGUGGCUAAUCUGCCCUUGGGACCGGAACACCCCCGGGAAACUGGGGCUAAUUCUCGAUAGGUGAAGAACUCUGGAAUGAGUCUUUGCCAAAAAGACGUUUACGUUAUGCUCGUAAGCGUCGCCCAAGGAUGAGGCCGCGACCGAUCAGGUUGUUGGUGAGGUAAUGGCUCACCAAGCCUUUUACCGGUGCGGGCCGUGAGAGCGGGAGCCCGGAGAUGGGCACUGAGACAAGGGCCCAGGCCCUACGGGGCGCAGCAGUCGCGAAAACUUUGCAAUACACGAAAGUGUGACAGGGCUAUCCCGAGUGCCAUCCGCUGAGGAAGGCUUUUACCCAGUCUAGAACGCUGGGGGAAUAAGGAGAGGGCAAGUCUGGUGUCAGCCGCCGCGGUAAUACCAGCUCUCCGAGUGGUGUGGAUGUUUAUUGGGCCUAAAGCAUCCGUAGCUGGCUGAGUUAGUCCCUUGUUAAAUCCACCGAAUUAAUCGUUGGAUUGCGGGGGAUACUGCUCGGCUAGGGGACGAGAGAGGCAGACGGUAUUUCUGGGGUAGGGGUGAAAUCCUAUAAUCCCAGGAGGACCACCAGUGGCGAAAGCUGUCUGCUAGAACGCGCCCGACGGUGAGGGAUGAAAGCUGGGGGAGCGAACCGGAUUAGAUACCCGGGUAGUCCCAGCUGUAACGAU
rnacentral:rRNA from 1 species